rnacentral:rRNA from 1 species
UUGAACGCUGGCGGCAGGCCUAACACAUGCAAGUCGAGCGGAUGAAGGGAGCUUGCUCCUGGAUUCAGCGGCGGACGGGUGAGUAAUGCCUAGGAAUCUGCCUGGUAGUGGGGGAUAACGUCCGGAAACGGGCGCUAAUACCGCAUACGUCCUGAGGGAGAAAGUGGGGGAUCUUCGGACCUCACGCUAUCAGAUGAGCCUAGGUCGGAUUAGCUAGUUGGUGGGGUAAAGGCCUACCAAGGCGACGAUCCGUAACUGGUCUGAGAGGAUGAUCAGUCACACUGGAACUGAGACACGGUCCAGACUCCUACGGGAGGCAGCAGUGGGGAAUAUUGGGCAAUGGGCGAAAGCCUGAUCCAGCCAUGCCGCGUGUGUGAAGAAGGUCUUCGGAUUGUAAAGCACUUUAAGUUGGGAGGAAGGGCAGUAAGUUAAUACCUUGCUGUUUUGACGUUACCAACAGAAUAAGCACCGGCUAACUUCGUG